rnacentral:rRNA from 1 species
UACCAGCACCCCGAGUGGUCGGGACGAUUAUUGGGCCUAAAGCAUCCGUAGCCGGUCCUACAAGUCUUCCGUUAAAUCCACCUGCUUAACAGAUGGGCUGCGGAAGAUACUAUAGGGCUAGGAGGCGGGAGAGGCAAGCGGUACUCAGUGGGUAGGGGUAAAAUCCUCUGAUCCAUUGAAGACCACCAGUGGCGAAGGCGGCUUGCCAGAACGCGCUCGACGGUGAGGGAUGAAAGCUGGGGGAGCAACCGGG